rnacentral:ncRNA from 1 species
AGCAGGGGGGCUCCCCUAACGGAGCUGAGAUAGGCGAAUGCCUGACCCUUUGAACCUGUUGGUUAACACCAUCGUAGGGAGCGGAG